GGGUUGUGAGGUUAAGCGACUAAGCGUACACGGUGGAUGCCCUGGCAGUCAGAGGCGAUGAAGGACGUGCUAAUCUGCGAUAAGCGUCGGUGAGGUGAUAUGAACCGUUAUAACCGGCGAUUUCCGAAUGGGGAAACCCAGUGUGUUUCGACACACUAUCAUUAACUGAAUCCAUAGGUUAAUGAGGCGAACCGGGGGAACUGAAACAUCUAAGUACCCCGAGGAAAAGAAAUCAACCGAGAUUCCCCCAGUAGCGGCGAGCGAACGGGGAGGAGCCCAGAGCCUGAAUCAGUGUGUGUGUUAGUGGAAGCGUCUGGAAAGGCGUGCGAUACAGGGUGACAGCCCCGUACACAAAAAUGCACAUAUUGUGAGCUCGAUGAGUAGGGCGGGACACGUGGUAUCCUGUCUGAAUAUGGGGGGACCAUCCUCCAAGGCUAAAUACUCCUGACUGACCGAUAGUGAACCAGUACCGUGAGGGAAAGGCGAAAAGAACCCCGGCGAGGGGAGUGAAAAAGAACCUGAAACCGUGUACGUACAAGCAGUGGGAGCCUCUUAAUGGGGUGACUGCGUACCUUUUGUAUAAUGGGUCAGCGACUUAUAUUCUGUAGCAAGGUUAACCGAAUAGGGGAGCCGAAGGGAAACCGAGUCUUAACUGGGCGUUAAGUUGCAGGGUAUAGACCCGAAACCCGGUGAUCUAGCCAUGGGCAGGUUGAAGGUUGGGUAACACUAACUGGAGGACCGAACCGACUAAUGUUGAAAAAUUAGCGGAUGACUUGUGGCUGGGGGUGAAAGGCCAAUCAAACCGGGAGAUAGCUGGUUCUCCCCGAAAGCUAUUUAGGUAGCGCCUCGUGAAUUCAUCUCCGGGGGUAGAGCACUGUUUCGGCAAGGGGGUCAUCCCGACUUACCAACCCGAUGCAAACUGCGAAUACCGGAGAAUGUUAUCACGGGAGACACACGGCGGGUGCUAACGUCCGUCGUGAAGAGGGAAACAACCCAGACCGCCAGCUAAGGUCCCAAAGUCAUGGUUAAGUGGGAAACGAUGUGGGAAGGCCCAGACAGCCAGGAUGUUGGCUUAGAAGCAGCCAUCAUUUAAAGAAAGCGUAAUAGCUCACUGGUCGAGUCGGCCUGCGCGGAAGAUGUAACGGGGCUAAACCAUGCACCGAAGCUGCGGCAGCGACACUAUGUGUUGUUGGGUAGGGGAGCGUUCUGUAAGCCUGUGAAGGUGGCCUGUGAGGGUUGCUGGAGGUAUCAGAAGUGCGAAUGCUGACAUAAGUAACGAUAAAGCGGGUGAAAAGCCCGCUCGCCGGAAGACCAAGGGUUCCUGUCCAACGUUAAUCGGGGCAGGGUGAGUCGACCCCUAAGGCGAGGCCGAAAGGCGUAGUCGAUGGGAAACAGGUUAAUAUUCCUGUACUUGGUGUUACUGCGAAGGGGGGACGGAGAAGGCUAUGUUGGCCGGGCGACGGUUGUCCCGGUUUAAGCGUGUAGGCUGGUUUUCCAGGCAAAUCCGGAAAACCAAGGCUGAGGCGUGAUGACGAGGCACUACGGUGCUGAAGCGACAAAUGCCCUGCUUCCAGGAAAAGCCUCUAAGCAUCAGGUAACAUCAAAUCGUACCCCAAACCGACACAGGUGGUCAGGUAGAGAAUACCAAGGCGCUUGAGAGAACUCGGGUGAAGGAACUAGGCAAAAUGGUGCCGUAACUUCGGGAGAAGGCACGCUGAUAUGUAGGUGAAGCGACUUGCUCGUGGAGCUGAAAUCAGUCGAAGAUACCAGCUGGCUGCAACUGUUUAUUAAAAACACAGCACUGUGCAAACACGAAAGUGGACGUAUACGGUGUGACGCCUGCCCGGUGCCGGAAGGUUAAUUGAUGGGGUUAGCGGCAACGCGAAGCUCUUGAUCGAAGCCCCGGUAAACGGCGGCCGUAACUAUAACGGUCCUAAGGUAGCGAAAUUCCUUGUCGGGUAAGUUCCGACCUGCACGAAUGGCGUAAUGAUGGCCAGGCUGUCUCCACCCGAGACUCAGUGAAAUUGAACUCGCUGUGAAGAUGCAGUGUACCCGCGGCAAGACGGAAAGACCCCGUGAACCUUUACUAUAGCUUGACACUGAACAUUGAGCCUUGAUGUGUAGGAUAGGUGGGAGGCUUUGAAGUGUGGACGCCAGUCUGCAUGGAGCCGACCUUGAAAUACCACCCUUUAAUGUUUGAUGUUCUAACGUGGGCCCGUAAUCCGGGUUGCGGACAGUGUCUGGUGGGUAGUUUGACUGGGGCGGUCUCCUCCUAAAGAGUAACGGAGGAGCACGAAGGUUGGCUAAUCCUGGUCGGACAUCAGGAGGUUAGUGCAAUGGCAUAAGCCAGCUUGACUGCGAGCGUGACGGCGCGAGCAGGUGCGAAAGCAGGUCAUAGUGAUCCGGUGGUUCUGAAUGGAAGGGCCAUCGCUCAACGGAUAAAAGGUACUCCGGGGAUAACAGGCUGAUACCGCCCAAGAGUUCAUAUCGACGGCGGUGUUUGGCACCUCGAUGUCGGCUCAUCACAUCCUGGGGCUGAAGUAGGUCCCAAGGGUAUGGCUGUUCGCCAUUUAAAGUGGUACGCGAGCUGGGUUUAGAACGUCGUGAGACAGUUCGGUCCCUAUCUGCCGUGGGCGCUGGAGAACUGAGGGGGGCUGCUCCUAGUACGAGAGGACCGGAGUGGACGCAUCACUGGUGUUCGGGUUGUCAUGCCAAUGGCACUGCCCGGUAGCUAAAUGCGGAAGAGAUAAGUGCUGAAAGCAUCUAAGCACGAAACUUGCCCCGAGAUGAGUUCUCCCUGACUCCUUGAGAGUCCUGAAGGAACGUUGAAGACGACGACGUUGAUAGGCCGGGUGUGUAAGCGCAGCGAUGCGUUGAGCUAACCGGUACUAAUGAACCGUGAGGCUUAACCUUACAACGCCGAAG
rnacentral:rRNA from 1 species